rnacentral:lncRNA from 1 species
AAUUAUCAAUAUUUUAAAGCAUGUCUAUCGAAUAAUCAUGGUUUCAUAAUUUUGAAGGGAAAAUGUGCACAUUUGUCAGCUUACAGACCUUACAGUUUGUUUAAACUCAUUGGCGGGUCCAGGGGAGGGUUCCGAGGGUUGGAACCCCCCUUCUUUUGGCCGCUCAAUGCAAUUGAAUGUGGACUAUACAGUUGGAACCCCCCCCCUUUUUUUUGUCCUGGGUUGGAAACCUCCCCUUUUUAAAACAUGUAAAAUGGCUGGAUCCGCCACUGAUCCUACAGAUUCCAUAAUGAGAUACUCCGAUAGACUAUAUAGCUAUGAAUCGACAUUCUAUACUACCACACUCGUGCAAAGUUGCAUAUUCCAGGGAAAAUUGAGCUUGUUAGUUGUGCAUCAUAACAAAUCAUUGAAAGUCAUAAAGGACACCGUUCCCC